UACGAGUGCCCCAAGCGUUAUCCGGAAUCAUUGGGCGUAAAGGGUGUGUAGGUGGUCUUUUUAGUCUUCUGUCAAAAUCCGAAGCUCAACUUCGGACUUGCAGAGGAAACGGGAAGACUCGAGGGUGCGAGGGGUGAAUGGAACUCAUGGAGUAGGGGUGAAAUCCGUUGAUAUCAUGGGGAACACCAAAAGCGAAGGCAAUUCACUGGCGCACAUCUGACACUGAAACACGAAAGCGUGGGUAGCGAACGGG
rnacentral:rRNA from 1 species